GACGAACGCUGGCGGCGUGCCUAAUACAUGCAAGUAGAACGCUGAAGGAGGAGCUUGCGCUUCUGGAUGAGUUGCGAACGGGUGAGUAACGCGUAGGUAACCUGCCUGGUAGCGGGGGAUAACUAUUGGAAACGAUAGCUAAUACCGCAUAACAGUAGAUGUUGCAUGACAUUUGCUUAAAAGGUGCAAUUGCACCACUACCAGAUGGACCUGCGUUGUAUUAGCUAGUUGGUGGGGUAACGGCUCACCAAGGCGACGAUACAUAGCCGACCUGAGAGGGUGAUCGGCCACACUGGGACUGAGACACGGCCCAGACUCCUACGGGAGGCAGCAGUAGGGAAUCUUCGGCAAUGGACGGAAGUCUGACCGAGCAACGCCGCGUGAGUGAAGAAGGUUUUCGGAUCGUAAAGCUCUGUUGUAAGAGAAGAACGAGUGUGAGAGUGGAAAGUUCACACUGUGACGGUAUCUUACCAGAAAGGGACGGCUAACUACGUG
rnacentral:rRNA from 1 species